UACAGAGGCCUCGAGCGUUAGGCGGAAUCACUGGGCUUAAAGCGUGUGUAGGUGGAUGCCUAAGUACCUUGUGAAAUCCCAUGGCUUAACCAUGGAAUUGCUCGGUAUACUGGGUGUCUUGAGCCACUCAGGGGCUACCGGAACAAGCGGUGGAGCGGUGAAAUGCGUAGAUAUCGCUUGGAACGCCAAAGGUGAAAACAGGUAGCUGGGGGUGUGCUGACACUGAGACGCGAAAGCCAGGGGAGCGAACGGG
rnacentral:rRNA from 1 species